rnacentral:lncRNA from 1 species
UAAAAAUGUUAGUCCCAGACAGAUCAUUUUUAAUAAAGACCACACUGCUACAUAUGUUGGUAAAAAUUUACUUUCUCUCUUGGAGUUAAGUGGUGACCAAUGUUGUCUUUGUGCUAUAUUAUCAUCAAUUUCUGCCCAUGUUUGUUGACAUCAGAGUGCAACAAACAUGAUAGUAGUCUACAAUUUCUAAUAGUGAGUCUACAAUUUCUAUCUCAGUCUAUAUUCUUGCUUGAUCCAAUUUAUAAUGUGAUGCAUCUAAUCACAAGAGGUAAAAUAACUUUUUCUGGACUUUGUACAGUUAUUUGUGCAUCCUUAGAUACAUCUUAACUGCUAGACAAUGUGAUGGAGGGGAAGGGGUGAUAGUGAGAGUCUGAGCCAGCUUGGAAAAACCCUUUUGUAUGUGUGUUGCUAAUGGGGCACUCAGUCUUAUGAGUGUUUUGUAUAAACAUAAAGUUUGUGUUUAUUUCAAAAUUUGUAAAAUU